GAUGAACGCUGGCGGCGUGCCUAAUACAUGCAAGUCGAGCGAACGGACGAGAAGCUUGCUUUUCUGAUGUUAGCGGCGGACGGGUGAGUAACACGUGGAUAACCUACCUAUAAGACUGGGAUAACUUCGGGAAACCGGAGCUAAUACCGGAUAAUAUUUUGAACCGCAUGGUUCAAAAGUGAAAGACGGUCUUGCUGUCACUUAUAGAUGGAUCCGCGCUGCAUUAGCUAGUUGGUAAGGUAACGGCUUACCAAGGCAACGAUGCAUAGCCGACCUGAGAGGGUGAUCGGCCACACUGGAACUGAGACACGGUCCAGACUCCUACGGGAGGCAGCAGUAGGGAAUCUUCCGCAAUGGGCGAAAGCCUGACGGAGCAACGCCGCGUGAGUGAUGAAGGUCUUCGGAUCGUACAACUCUGUUAUUAGGGAAGAACAUAUGUGUAAGUAACUGUGCACAUCUUGACGGUACCUAAUCAGAAAGCCACGGCUAACUACGUG
rnacentral:rRNA from 1 species